UUACACCUUAGUAGCGGUGUUUGUGCACGAGGAAUUUUGAUUUCCUAUGAAGGAGCCAAAAACUUCUCUAUUAAA
rnacentral:tRNA from 1 species